GAAAAUUCCAAUAUGGGGUGCAAAUGACCUUAUAGUUUUAAGCGUCCAAAUCUUUGCUAUGACCUCCCUUUUGACAAGAGAGAGAAAACUGGAAAUACUAUUUUCAAACAGACAGGUGACUUCUGAAGCUGAACGUUUACUGGUUACCCAACUUGCGUACACGCUGUCGACGUCGCUUGAAUAAGACGUCAUACAAGAAUUGUCAUAUUAGCAAGGCGUAUGGGUUGGGUGAGUCUCUUGGCGUCCUGGGUAGCUUGUGCCUGGUGGUAGUCGUAGUGCUGUUCCUAAUGCAGAGAUGGCGAAAAUGCAUUUGAUUUUAUCCACAUCUCUCUGUAUUGUUUAUGGGGUUAGUGUUGCCUUUACACACGACGCUUGGCGUGUAGGAACUUGAUCGCAGUAACGACGUUUGGUUUUGAAGAUCUAGAAGUUAGUUCAACACGUGGUACGGUCGCAUGUAUGCUGCAUCAAUUGAGUCGAUGUCCUGCACGAGGUUAAGAGCGCUGCACCAAAGCCAGGCUAUGCGCGUGAAUUGUCACAACAUAUAUGGCAUCACAGGCCAUAAGCAUGAAUCCGACAAACAUACUUGGAGCCAAUGCUACUUGCUGGCCAUAAGCAUGAAUCCGACAAACACUUGCAGCCAAUGCUACUUGCUGGCCAUAAGCAUGAAUCCGACAAACAUAUUUGGAGCCAAUGCUACUUGUUGGAAAUGCGUCCGUGCAUCCCCUGAUUCGUGGUAUUUAACUCCAUGGGAUAAUUUGGAAUGCUGUGGUUGACCUACAAUAAAUUGAUGGAGGAAAUUUGUAAAUGUGUCUUAUUAAAAAAAAAAAAAAAAAAAAGAGUUUUGCUGUUGCACUAAAAGGCCUUGUCUGCUGUUUUUAUUUGGCCAAAUUAUGUCAUUACAAUCAUUUGAUUCAGCGUAAGUGUGCACGUACAGAGCUCUUUAAUUUAAGUCGUGGUCAUACUGCGUAGAGUUUGGAGCUAUGCAGGACCAAGAGGCCAGGCAGAAUUUGAGUAAAUCCUGGGAAUGUGAUGGAAGGAACUAUCCUUUAUUUCAGUCCUAUUGGUAGUGUACUCUGCAUUGCCUUAAUUCAGUUUGGUUUAUCGGUGCAGAAAUGCAUGUUAACAUUUAUCUAGCAGUAACUUAAGCCUUUGGCUUUGAACUGUAUUACAUCAAUUAAAUGAUAACAAGUCUAGGAAGUUCUCUGUUCAUGUUGCUGCAGGGCACCUUGUAAAGAACAGUACGUAAAGGUAACAUAUAUUGCCUCUUGAUUACAAGAGGACCAAUAUACAAAACGAGCUUUGAUUGGUGUAGUGACCUGGUGAGAUCCUUUUUGUAGUAGUCUAUAAAUGUGCUCUAAGUUGUCACACUUGGGUGCUGGCACCCCUUAUUUAUAACCAUGAAGUGCAUUGUCAAAGAUCUAGACCAAAAGAACUGCAUUGGAAGUGUCCCAAGUCACCUGGUUCACAACAUCAGUAGGAAUACAGGAAAUUGCUGAAUCAUCAAUGCCCAUCAAAUGUCCCUGUGGCUUCAGAGUCGCAGAUUAUGCAUGGUUUAAGAAUGAGCUGGCUAAAAUGGGUAGCAUGUGUAUCCAUUGUACUCUUCUCGGGCUUACGCUCUCUGAUGAUGGAUCAACCUUGUGGAUCAAUAAAGUACUCUUGAAUCUACAUUGAAAUGCAAUACAACGGUGUCAUCUCAUUGGUCUAUGUUCUGUGACUAGGGAGGCUCACUGUUGAAAAACAAUAAGUGAAGCAAAUGUCUAUCCAAGUUUCUUUGACAGCAGCAGUUAUGAAAUGCGCAUCAACAAAUUUAACUCACAGAAGGUUUGAAAAUAGAUGUGUUAUCAUAGUGACACAGGACUAGUCACUGUUUUAUACAGGACCAGUAAAUAUACUGUACAACGGGACAGUUUGUAGGGCAUUGUACCCAUUUCU
ensembl:lncRNA